rnacentral:rRNA from 1 species
UACGUAGGGUGCGAGCAUUGUCCGGAAUUAUUGGGCGUAAAGAGCUCGUAGGCGGCCUGUCACGUCGGAUGUGAAAGCCCGGGGGCUUAACCCCCGGGUCUGCAUUCGAUACGGGGCAGGCUGGAGUUCGGUAGGGGAGAUCGGAAUUCCUGGUGUAGCGGUGAAAUGCGCAGAUAUCAGGAGGAACACCAAUGGCGAAGGCAGCUCGCUGGAACGGUACUGACGCUGAGGCGCGAAAGCGUGGGGAGCAAACAGG